UAUAUUUUGUUGACACAUUUUCUAAUGUUAAUUUUAGUUCUAACACGAAUAAUAUUUAAUUUAGGUAUUACUUAGAAAAUUUCCCAUUCAUCUCUAUAAAUAGCCUCUUGUAUGUAUUGCUUGUUGAUUAAUAACUUGAAAGAGAGAAUGGUUUAUGGCAUCAAGUGCGUCUAUUUUUUCAUUGCAUUGCUAUGCGUGGCAUCCAUUUUGAAUCCAGUCAUCUUUAUAAAUAGACUCUUGUAUAUAUUGCUUGUUGAUUGAUAACUCGAAAGAGAGAAUGGUUUAUGGCAUCAAGUGCGUCUGUGUUUUCAUUGCAUUGCUAUGCAUGGCAUCCAUUUUGAAUCCAGUUGUAGGAGGAGUAAUUGAUGCAACAAGUAAUGAUGAACAGCGCUUUCAGAUUUGCACCUCCCGCGGGCCAUGUCCAACUGUUAGUAAGUUCGAGUGUGGUGAUUAUUGUUGGCACGUUUUGGUUAUUCCUUAUGGUGGCCAGUGCGUGGGAUAUGAAUGUUGUUGUUAUAGUAGACCUCCGAUAAAGUGAUUUUAGUGUAAUUUGUGCACUUCUGAAAAAUAAAUACAUCAAUUUUAGUUUUUAAUAUCAUA